rnacentral:rRNA from 1 species
AUGCCGAGGAGUUUGCCGCCGCCGAUGCGCAGUCUGGAGACAGUCGCGUCAGUGUGGGCGACGGCGUCUGAAAGAUGCGUGCAAAGGUGCAUGCCGAGGAGUUUGCCGCCGCCGAUGCGCAGUCCGGAGACAGUCGCGUCAGUGUGGGCGACGGCGUCUGAAAGAUUGAAGAGAAAGCAUGCACCUGUGUUGGCGAGGAGGCUGUCGUCGUGGAUGUCGCGGGCGUCGUCGGGCGUCGUUGGUGCGGGCGUCCUUGGCGCGGGCGUUUCGGUGGAGGGCAACUCUGAAGAGCGGCAGGAGGAUUGGUCGCCGCUAAUUUUGAAGCGGAUGUGGCUGUUUCGGUGUGUUUUUUUCUUUUCUUUUUGUUGGCGUUGGCUCAAGGACGGCAGAGUUUCGUCCGCCCACCUAAAUUGCUUAUUGUACAACAUCAGGGGUACUUUUCUGUAUUGA